AACGGUUCGACGUCUUACUCAAACAAGGAUACACAUAUACAUUGUAUAAAGUGGCAUUCUGUCUAAACUGGGCGGAGGUUCAAUUUCGGAAUAUUGCGCAUGGGCUAGAGUUGGGAUUGAUAACACAUACUAUUGUGGAGCCAUUCACUAAACCAAUUCAAUUUCCUCCAUUUCCAAAAUAUCUUAUGCCAUUUCAUGAUGUUUACCAACAACCGCAUAAGACGUUCGUAGACAUUAUUGGCAUAGUUGUUCAUUUGGAGCCAUUAAAGUAUAUCGGUGGAAGGCCAUACAGAGAGGCUGUACUAAUGGAUUCCAGGUGGAAUCUAAUUGUCAUGGGGGUAUG